GUGCAGCAGUCGCGAAUACUUUACAAUGUGCGAAAGCACGAUAAGGGAACUCUGAGUGCCUCCUAAGGAGGCUGUUCUGAUGUCUAAAAAGCAACAGAAGUAAGGGCUGGGUAAGACCGGUGCCAGCCGCCGCGGUAACACCGGCAGCCCAAGUGGUAGCCACGUUUAUUGGGUCUAAAGCGUUCGUAGCCGGCCAGGUAAGUUCCUUGGUAAAUUUAGCCGCUUAACGGUUAAGCUUUCGGGGAAUACUGCUUGGCUUGGGACUGGGAGAGGUCAGAGGUACUCCGGGGGUAGGGGUGAAAUCUAUUAAUCCCUGGGGGACCACCGGUAGCGAAGGCGUCUGACCAGACCAGGUCCGACGGUGAGGGACGAAGGCUAGGGGCGCGAACCGGAUUAGAUACCCGGGUAGU
rnacentral:rRNA from 1 species